GGGAGGACCUGCCACUCCCUAAAGGAACACCCUGAGUCUACUCACACCUGUGUCUUCCAGUCUUUACCAGUGCUCAAUAGAGGACCUGCGUCUCUGGAAGGACCAUCAUGAUUCUGCCCACACCUCACUCUUCAUGGUCUUUCAGUCCUUUCCCAGUGCUUAAGAGAAGACCUGCCCCUUCUGGAAGGAUCACCAUGACUCUGCCCACUCCUGUGGUUUCCAGUCGUUUCCUGGUGCUUAAUGUGAGUCGGGGCUCUGCUCUGAGCCUCAGCUCCCUACAUCUCGGACUCCAUCUCCUGGGAGUUUUCUCCUCCGAGAGAAGACCUACACCUCAUGGAAUGAUCACCCUGAGUAAGCCCACACCUGUGUCUUCUGGUCCUUUCCUGGUGCUUAAGGUGAGGGGUGGCCAUGCUCUGAGCCCCAACUCCCUACAUCCCCUGCUCAGUCUCCCUGGGUGUUUUCUACAACUAGAGAACACCUGCACUUCCCAGAAGGAUCACUCAGUUUCUGUUCACACCUGAAUCUUCUGGUACUUUCCCAGUGCUUAAGGCUAGUGGGGGCCCUGCUCUGAUCCCCAAUGGCCUACACCCCAAACUCCAUUACCUGGGCAUUUUCUGUGCCUAGAGAAGACCUGCCCCUUCUGGAAGGACCACCCUGAAUGCUGCCACACCUCAGUCUUCAGUAUCUUCCGUUCCUUUAAGUGCUUAAGUUGAUUGGGGGCCCUGCAUGAAUCCCAACUCCCUUAUCCCUGGCUCCAUCUCCCUGGGUGUUUUUUGAGCCUAGAUAAGACCUAUGCCUCCAGGUAUGAGCACCCUGAGUCUGCCCACAGUUGUGUCUUCCAGUCCUUUCACAGUGCUUAAGGUGAGUGGGGCCCUGCUAUGAGCACCAACUCCCUACAUCUCCAGCUCCUACUCCCUGGGCGUUUUCUGCGCCUAUAGAAUACCUGUCCACCCCUGGAAGGACCAACUUGAGUCUGCCCACAACUCAGUCUUCAGUGUCUUUUGGUCCUUUCCCGGUGCAUAAGGUGAGUGGGGGCCUUGCUCUGUGCCCAAACUUCCUACAUCCCUGAACCCUAUACCAGGGCAUUUGCUGCGCCAAGAGAAGAACUAUGCUUCCUGGAAGGGUCACCCUGAGUUCGCCCACACCUGUCUUCUGGUCCUUUUCUGGUGCUUAAGGUGAGUGGGGGCCCUGUUCUGAGCCCCAACUCCCUACAUCCUUGGCUCCAUCUCCCUGGGCAUUUUCUGUGCCUAGAGAAGACAAAGGCCUCCAGGAAGGAUCAGCCUGUGUCUGCCCACACCUGUGCCUUCUAAUCCUUUCCUGUUGCUUAAGGUUAGUGUGGGCGCUGCUCUGAGCAGCAACUCCCUACAGCCCUGGCUCUGUCUCCCUGGGUGUUUUCUCUGCCUAGAGAAGACCUGCACCUUCCAGAAGGAACACCCUGAGUCUGCCCACGCCUGUGUCUUCUGGUGCUUUCCUGGUGCUUAAGGUGAGUGGAGGCCCUGCUCUAAGCCUAAUCUCCCUACAUUCCCAGCUCCCUCUCCCUGGGCAUUUUCUGCACCUAAAGAAGACCUGCCGCUCCCAGAAAGACCAUCCUGAAUCUGCCCAUACCUCAGUUUUCAGUGUCUUCCAGUCCUUUCCUGGUGCUUCAGGUGAGUGGGGGCCCUGCUCUGAGCCUCAACUCCCUACAUCCCUGACUCAUUCUCCCUGGGCAUUUGCUGCACCUAGAGAAGAUCUAUGCCUCCUGGAAGAAUCACCCUGAGUCUGCCCCCACCUGUGUCUUCUAAUCUUUUCCUGCUACUUAAUGUGAGUGGGGGCCCUGCUCUGAGCCUCAACUCCCUACAACCCUGACUCUGUCUCUAUGGGUGUUUACUGCACCUGGAGAUGACCUGGACCUCCUCGUAGUACAACCGUGAGUCUGUGCACACCUCAGUCUUCAUUGUCUUCCAAUCCUUUUCAGGUGCUUAAGUCCCCUCUGAUAUCUGUCUUGUACCUUUAGCCACUGAAGUAUUUUACCUGCUUGAACGAACUGGGAGGGAUCCUUAUAUCCAAACCCACCAGGUGUGGAAGAGACCCCAUAGGCUUCCACUGAAAGAAAGGAUGGGGAAAAGGCAAUAGAAAAACACAGCCAACAACAGUACAACCAGUAUGAUACCACCAACUUCUAGCAAGUCUACAAAAGCAAGACCUGAACAUAUCAACACAGAUGAAACAGAAAAGAAUGACCUUCAAAACAACCUCCUG